rnacentral:lncRNA from 1 species
AUUUGAGAUAUGGAAAUGCCUAUCUUAUAUAUAAAAAGCAUUGUUGUUACCUGGCUGAGCUCCAGUUCCGCUUCCUUGGUGAUUGGGACCAUCCUCCACAUCCUGUGUGGACUGGGGCUCUUCCUCCUGUUCCUUCCCUCCCUCCAGAGGAAUUUGCCCUUACAACCACCUUACAAAAGGAGAAACGUCAGGAAGCGUCAAAUGAAGCUGAGAGGGAGGAGCAGCAGGAGCAGGAAGAAAAAGGGAGCUUUGAAAGGAAGGUCCCUGUGCCAGGCUUCACUCAGUUUCAGAAUUCCAGUUGCCUGGGACUGCUGACUUUCAACCUGGAUGAGACUGCAUAUGGGCAUUGAAAAAAUAUUUGGAAAACAAGGCUUGGCACACAGGGUGUCAGCAACCUCAUCCUUGCAAUCUUGGAAGACUGGAGAAACAGUACAACAUGAUACUUGCAGAGUUAAGCCUGUACAGAGAACUAGGUGACUAGAAAAGAACAGGCAAGAAGAUUGGCUUAAAUUUCUAAAUGGCAGUGACUUUAAACUUGUCUGUAACAUUUUGCAUAAGGCAGAAGUGUAGAACUGGUGAAGGUGGAUUCUCUUACCAUUAUUUGGAUAAAGUCAUAUUCAAUAUCACCACAGUGAAGAGCUAAUUCUGUACUCAUUAUAAAAAUUUUACCCAGCUUAUGUUUCCAUCUAGUUCCACAGAGGAAAUGAGUAUCUGUUGCAUAAGCCCCUGGGAAAAAAAAAUCUGGAACAAUGACUUUCUCCUGCUAAAGCAAGUUCAUGCUGGAGGUGUCAUACUACAGAGGUUUUUAGUAAGAAUUACUGUUGGUGGAAAAUUCCCCUUAGCCCCUUUUCAAGUGGAAUUUUUUAAAAAAGAAAGCAAGAGACAUUCUCAGUGACAAGCCUGUUCAGAAAGACAAGUAGACAAAUUACUAAUUACAUAAUAAUUAGUGAGUUGAAGUAGGCAUGCCAAAUCAAUUUUUAAGUCAAGGUACAGUGUUGAAAAACUGUAAAUCGCUCGUUGGCUCACCAUGUGGUUUGACUCAAUAACAAGACAAGUUCGAAUUUCUUUUUAACGUUAUAUUAUUUUAAAAAAGUUGCUUUUAAACAGUAAUCCAG